rnacentral:rRNA from 1 species
UACGGGGGGGCUAGCGUUGUUCGGAAUUACUGGGCGUAAAGGGCGCGUAGGCGGUCUAUUAAGUUGGAUGUGAAAACUCUGGGCUUAACCCAGAGCCUGCAUUCAAAACUGAUAGGCUGGAGUUCUGGAGGGGAUAGCGGAAUUCCUGGUGUAGCGGUGAAAUGCGUAGAUAUCAGGAGGAACACCGGUGGCGAAGGCGGCUAUCUGGACAGAAACUGACGCUGAGGCGCGAAAGCUAGGGGAGCAAACAGG